AUCUAUGGCCGUACCACCCUGAACACGCCCCAUCUCAUCUGACGUCGCAAACUAAGCAGGGUCAGGCCUGGUUAGUAGGUGGAUGGGAGAUCUCAUGUUGCUGAGAAAAUCAGGUUGAAGACU
ensembl:rRNA 5S_rRNA 5S ribosomal RNA